GAUGAAGAACGCAGCGAAAUGCGAUAAGUAAUGCGAAUUGCAGAAUUCCAGUGAGUCAUCGAGUCUUUGAACGCACAUUGCGCCCCCUGGUAUUCCGGGGGGCAUGCCUGUCCGAGCGUCAUUGCUGCCCAUCAAGCACGGCUUGUGUGUUGGGUCGUCGUCCCCUCUCCGGGGGGGACGGGCCCCAAAGGCAGCGGCGGCACCGCGUCCGAUCCUCGAGCGUAUGGGGCUUUGUCACCCGCUCUGUAGGCCCGGCCGGGGCUUGCCGAACGCAAAUCAAUCUUUUUCCAGGUUGACCUCGGAUCAGGUAGGGAUACCCGCUGAACUUAAGCAUAUCAAUAAGCGGAGGA
rnacentral:misc_RNA from 1 species